AUAACAUCAAUAACAAAAUGGGGCCCCUAAGUUUUGGAUUAAUGUCAAAGAAGAAGCAAGUGCAGACCUGUGGAGUUGCCAAUCUUUUGACUUUUUGAGGCUACUCAAAGUUGUCCUCCGCAACAGAGAUGCUGCUAUAGAGAUGCAUUUGAGAAACCAACACCCAAGCAUAUGAGAUGCACCAUAUUUCAGCACCAACCCCAUGUUGUGGAAAGCCUUUUUCAACGGUUACCAAUUUGUUUGUUUUCCUAACAAAUGUGUUGAUAGCAGCUCUAUCCGGUGGUCUAAUUGACUGAUGGUUGAUCACAUGUUAACAAAUAUUAGAGAAUAAUAAGAACAUACUAAUGGAUGUAGUCAAAAAACGUAACAUAAUUGUACUGCAUAAUGUGUUUUGCAAAAGGUACCUCAGCACUGAUUCCCUCCUUGGAAAGUAUAUCUGCAGCCUGAAAAUUGACUGAGCAUAAUGUAACCAGAACAGUAGAUCAAGAAUUUUAUGUACAAUGUGAAAUGAUCAUCGAUGCUAAUUAAACAAAUGCAUUCACAUCUCAAACACAACUGAUUUCUUAAAAACUUUGUCCCGUUCAAUCAAUGGCUCCAAAAUGAGAUCUCUUAAGCACUGCAGAACAACAAGGAAAUUUCAUCUUUUUUUUUCUUGCUUUAUAAGAAUGUAGUAAUCAUGAGGGUUCUUGACCACAGCCACUGAUGACGAAGACAAUUAUUUUGUGUCAGUCAUCUAGUAACAAAAAUGAAAGAGGCAUAUGAGAAAUAUGCAUAGAUUGAUAGAUAAGCAGAAUACGUAGUCAUUAAAAAAAGAAAGCAAAUGAACGGGAUUGAUCCUUCUUGAUUCUAAAAAAGCGACAACUCCCUCGCGUCGUCUCUCCGAGGCGACCCGGGGGCCCCAAAUCCCUCCACCGCCGGCCGGCAAUCUGCUUCUCCCCUGCCGCCGCUGCCGCCGGCCCUUGCCGCGGUGGCGGCGGGCCCCGUUCCUCGAAGGGGAGGGGGACCUCCGGCCGAUGCGUGGGGCGCGGCGGCGGAUCUUGGGCCCCGGGGCGGCGGCCUCGGUCUUGGCGACGACGGCUGCUGCGGCUGCUUGGGCGGCGCGGUGGUUGGGCCUGGGCGCGGUGCUGCUGCGGCCAUGCUGGGUGCUCGCGGUGGAGGAAGCUCGGUCCUCCUGCUGCACGACGUUCUUCGGCGCGACGACUCCGGCGACUUCGCGGCCUUGCGUCGCCGAGGUCCUUCUCCAGCUGGCCUAGGCGGGGUGGCAGCCCCCUGGUCUGCCUGUGCGAGCUCGUCCCCGUGGCCGGCUUGUCGAUGGUGUUGCCGGCUCGUCGGAUCGGCUUCGGCGGGAUCUGACCGGCUGUGGUCGGUUUUGGUUUUCUGCGUCCACGGACGACGAGGGAGGAGGUGGCUCUGGCGCGGCGGUGGCGUGUUCGCGGCGUCGGAGGUGUGCGGGCCAGCGGAGUGCUCUGCGUGGGACUGUUGUUCGUGCUGCUCCAGGUGAAAGCCUAGCCGAUGCUCGCAGGCCGGCGGCGGCGGCGCCUGUGGGCGUCGCUUUCCUCCUUGGAGGCGCCGUCGAGGAGUUUCUGCACUUCCUCAGCUCUCGGGUUAAGAUCUACGGGCGAAAGUCAUGAUCCUGUUCGAUCGGGCGGCGGCGGCAUCUUCAAUGUCGUUUUCCCUCUUUGGGGCGUCGUCUUGGAGAUCUUGGCCCCUUUUGUGCUUCCUGCAGGCUGGACGUGCGCGGCAUCACGGUUGGCCGGUGUGCAACUGGUGAUGCGUGUGGUUGGCGUUGCGACUCGUGUGAUGACGACGAUGAUGGCGUGCGAAGCUGGGUCGCGGCUUGCCCUUCUGAUGUCGACGGUCCGGUGCGCCAAUGGGUGUGCCUAUGCUGGCUUCUGGCUGUGACAGAGAAGUCGGAGCUGCGUGCGAUGCCUCUGCGGCAACGAUGACUCCAUGAGGGCGGUUUUUAGCGGGCGGUGCUCUCCGGAUGAUGCGCUGGACUAGGUCGGCGCGAGGCUUGCAACUUUUUUCUGUGAAGCAUUUCAGCAAAAUCGGAGCUGCCAUGUCCUCGACGCUUCGGUCGACCGUUUGGCUUGUCUGUGGCCAGGUCGGCUGUGUGUGCCCCGUGUGGGGUUGUAUCUGGGUUUUCGCCCGGUUUUCCUCUAAUUAACCGGACAAAUCUCUUCUUCUUAAUCAAUGAAAAUGGCAAA